ACACCGGCAGCUCUAGUGGUAACAAUUUUUAUUGGGCCUAAAGCGUCCGUAGCCGGUUUAAUAAGUCUCUGGUGAAAUCCUGUAGCUUAACUGUGGGAAUUGCUGGAGAUACUAUUAGACUUGAGACCGGGAGAGGUUAGAGGUACUCCCAGGGUAGAGGUGAAAUUCUGUAAUCCUGGGAGGACCGCCUGUUGCGAAGGCGUCUAACUGGAACGGUUCUGACGGUGAGGGACGAAAGUUAGGGGCGCGAACCGGAUUAGAUACCCGGGUAGUCCUAACUGUAAACGAUGCGGACUUGGUGUUGGGGUGGCUUUGAGCUGCUCCAGUGCCGAAGGGAAGCUGUUAAGUCCGCCGCCUGGGAAGUACGGUCGCAAGACUGAAACUUAAAGGAAUUGGCGGGG
rnacentral:rRNA from 1 species